UUUCCUUCUACAAAAGGAAAUCACAAGCUUAGUGCAAGGUAAUCUGGACAUAGCUGGAUACUUCACUAGACUUAAGAAAUUAUGGGAUGAAUUAGAUUCACUAAAUACUGAUGUAACAUGUUCUUGUAUUUGUGUAUGUGAUGGAAAAAGAAAACUAAUGAAAUCUUUGCAAGAUCAAAGGCUUUUGCAAUUUUUAAUGGGGUUAAAUGAGGUGUAUUUCCAGGUAAGGAGUAGCAUACUGAUGGAAAAUCCACUUCCCACUCUUGAUCAUGCUUAUUCUCUCUUGUUGCAAGAUGAGAAUCAGAGGGAAGUAUUUGUUAAUGCUCAAUUUCCUAGUGAAACUGUCUUUUAUGACAGGAAAGCAGAAAAGACCCUUUUCAAAAACUGGAAGACAACCUCACAGAGGAAACUUUCAAUUUCAACCUAACCCCACUCAAAAGUUUGGGCAACCUGAUCAUGCUCAGAGAUUGGGGGAAACAAACUCCACUCAGAGGUUUGGAAAUCAACCUUACAAGAACAAAGGAAAGAAGGUGAAAUAUAAUCCGAAUGUAAGAUGCCCCUAUUGUCUCAAAAAAGGACAUGAAGAGACUAUUUGUUAUAGACUGAUAGGGUUUCCUGAUGAUUUUUAAUUCACCAAUUCAAAAGGAAAUCAAGCAGGAGUAAGGGGAAAUGCAGCAGUAACAGGGGAAAUUUGUAAUGAGAGUGAGGCUGAGCCAAAUAUGUACAGCUGCAUAGAUGGAGGAGAAUUCAAUCAAAGGCAGGUCUCACAGAUCAUGAACGUAUUUAAGCAAGCUCAAUUGGGGCAAGCUAAAGCAUUAGGAUCAGAGAUUAAUGCAGAUGCAGUGGCUGGAACUAUUCUCAAAUACUCAGGAACAUGUUUUAUGACUUUUGAUCAUAAUACCUGGAUCAUAUACACAGGGGCUUCUGAGCAUAUGUGCUAUAAUUCUAGUUCAUUUUUGAGUCUUACUUCUUUACCAGCACCGGUAGCUAUAAGUUUGCCUAAUUCUUUCAAAAUCACUGUGACACACAUAGGUAGCAUCACUAUUUAGCCUAACCUUACUCUAAAUAGUGUCCUUUAUGUUCCAGAUUUCAAAUAUAAUUUGUUAUCCAUUCACAAAUUAUGUUUCCAAUUUCAAUGUUCUACAUAUUUUGAUUCUUUUGGGUGUAUGUUGUAGGCCCCUUCUAUGAAGAGGGGACAAGCUUUUGGUGAAGUAAGGAAAGGUCUCUAUGCCUUGCAACAAGCUAGUUCUAAAGUUAAGGAGUCUACUAAAAAAAGGUAAUACAGAAGAAACAAAGUUCCAGUCAUGUUUUCAAUCUCUUAUCUAAAUCUAGUGCUAUUCCUGCUAAUUUUGUCUCCAAUGUAAACCUUUGGCAUUUCAAAUUGGGAUAUUUGCCCUUAUCAGUAAUGAGAAAUUUCAAUUUCAUCAAAGUUCCCUCAAAUCCUAAUUUCUUUUGUGAUGUGUGUCCACAAGCAAGACAAACUAGACUUCCUUUUUCAACUAUUAGCAUUAAAUCAAAAAGGAUUUUUGAAUUAAUUCAUGUUGACACUUGGGGUCCUUAUAAAUGUGCUACCUAUAAUGGAUUCAAGUAUUUUCUAGCUAUAGUAGAUGACUAUAUAGUAGAGGAACUUGGACAUUCUUACUAACCACAAAGUCUAAUGCCUUUUCUUUAUUGAAAUAUUUCCUAUCCAUGGUAGAAAGACAAUUUAUGUGAAGGUGAAGUGCUCUAGAGUUGGGGAAAGGAUCAGAUAAAUCAUCUUUUCUAAAGAGAAAAGAUAUUCUCCAUCAAACAUCUUGUGUUGCUACCCCUCAACAAAAUGGAAUUGUCGAAAGAAAACAUAGACACUUGUUGGAGAUUGCAAGGGGACUCAUGUUUCAAUCAAAGGUUCCAAUCAAAUUUUGGGGGGAGUGCACUCUGACUGCUACACAUCUGAUAAACUUGUUACUUUCCAAAGUUCUUCAAGGCAUGUAUUCAUCCAGGAUGGAGAAAGGCAAUGUAUGCAGAAAUACAAGCUCUCAAGCAAAAUCAAACUUGAGAAGUGGUGAAUCUGCCUAAAGGGAAGAAACCACUUCCAGGUAAGUGGGUGUAUAAGGUCAAACACAACUCUGAUGGGAGUGUGCAGAGAUUGAAGGCUAGGUUGGUAGUAAGGGGGACAUUCAGAAGAAGGAGAAGAAGGAGGGAAUUGACUACACAAAGACAUUCUCACCUAUGGUCAAAAGGACCACUAUAAGAUGUCUCCUGAUAGUAGCUGUGAAGAGGGGAUGGAGUGUUUCUCAACUUGAUGUAAAUAAUGCCUUCUUGCAUAGAGAUUUGCAGGAAAAGGUUUACAUGCAAUUUCCACCAGGAUUGAAGCCUGAUGAUCCUGGUCAAGUUUGCUUAUUAAGGAAGUCUCUGUAUGGCCUAAAGCAAGCCUCAAGGAAAUGGUAUGCCAGGCUUGCUGGGGCAUUGCAAUUCAAAGGAUACUCUAGUUCAUUAAAUGAUUAUUCAUUAUUUAUAAGCGAUCAGGUGAUCUUGUUUCCAUUAUAGAAGUCUAUGUGGAUGACAUACUCUUGAAUGGAAAUGAUGUUUCUGAGAUUUCAUCCAUCACUACAUUUCUCAAUUCAGAAUUCAAAGUCAAAAAUCCGAGAAACAUUCACUACUUCCUAGGAAUGAAAAUUCUCAGAGAAAAGCAAGGGUUUUAAAUUAUACAGAGAUCAUUGAUCUAUUGCAGGAGUUUGAUGUAUCUGAACCUGCAGUUUUCUCUUCUUUGGACCCUUCCUGCAAUCUAUAUCAAAAUGAUUCCCCAUUAUUAGAAAAUCCCACUUAGUACAGAUAACUAGUUGGAAAACUAAACUACCUCACUCAUACUCGACCAGAUUUAUCAUUUGUGGUGUUGAUUUUAAGUUAGUUUAUGCAAAGUCCUAGUCUUUAUCAUUAUAAUGCAGCACUUCGAGUCUUGAGGUACCUUCGAGCAGAUCCGGUACAAGGAAUCCUACUCUCAGCUGAUCCAUUCCUUGAUUUGUUGGCCUUUUGUGACGUAGAUUGGAGUUCUUGCAAGGAUAUAAGAAGAUGUGUAAAUGGAUUUUACAUUGCUCUAGGUGGAGCACCUAUUUCAUGGAAAUCAGAGAAGAAAGUCUCGGUAUCACUAUCUUCUGCAGAAGUAGAGUAUAGAUCUAUGCGUAGAGUGACUGCAGAAAUUACCUGGUUGGUGCGACUCUUGGAUGAUCUAUCCGCACCACCGAUUUUGCUGAUUCCUAUUCAUUCCGACAGUCAGGCUGCUCUUCAUAUUGCCAAAAAUUCGGUCUUUCAUGAACGAACGAAGUAUGUGGAGUUGGACUAUAGUAGACACGCAAUUUUAUCCCUCUCCGAAAGCAUUUUUUACCGUUUACCCCAUCUUACCACGUAACCUAUCCGCGUGGUAAUUUUUCCACAAGAAAAUAAAAUAAAUAACCCCCUCAUCAUUUUUUUUAAUCUUUAUCACAUUUAACAAAUUCUAACAAAUUUUAUCUUCUUUUAAACAUCCUAGCAACCUAUCCUACCCCACCUCCUACCUCACUGCCCUGCCAACCCCAUACCCCACGUAUCCUUUUUACUCUUUUUUCUAUUGGUAACAAACUCAUAACAAAAAACAUCACACCAAGACAAAAAAAAUGACCCCAUAGAUGUUCCCCAUAACAGAAUAAUAUACACCCUCAGGAUUUUCCAUUGGGUGGGGGGACCACACAAUGAUUCACAAUUUCACUCUCUCCUUACAAUAUAUACACACUCAUAUUCACGAGGAAGAGGGGAAAAAACCCAUCUGACUUUCACUUAAAAAUCCCACAUACCCAUAUACACUACACUCUCAAUUCCAUCGAAAGACAACCAUUAACGCACCUAAUUAACGACAGAUGCACAAACACACGAAAAUGGAGUGAGGGUGAAGCGAGGUCAAGAGAAAAAUAGAGAAAAAGAGAGGAUCAAAGCGGAAAGAGUGAGAUUCAAGGUUGAGAGAUAAAAACAGAGAGAAAAAGUCGAGAGAGAAAUUUGGACAAGUUUAUUGAUACAAGUUGGGGAACUGAAAAUGAAGUGAAGCAUAGCUGAAAUCAACAAAUUAGUUAGAAGUAGUUAAACUGUAUUAGAAUUCAAAAUUUUGUUUUUACUGUUCAUUGCAGUUAACUGUAGCUCAAGUCACAUGGGUAGUUAAUUGGUUAGAGAGUUAGUUACAACUGUCAAGUGGGAUUGUUAGCUAUAAAAUCAAGCAUUACUGGUGUAAGCAUUCAUUCAUAAAUAAUAUCUCAAGUUUAUCUCUUCUA